CCUACGGGAGGCAGCAGUGGGGAAUAUUGCGCAAUGGGCGAAAGCCUGACGCAGCGACGCCGCGUGAGGGAUGAAGGUCUUCGGAUCGUAAACCUCUGUCAGCAGGGAAGAACGGUCAAUGUGCUAAUCAGCAGUGAAUUGACGGUACCUGCAAAGGAAGCACCGGCUAACUCCGGGCCAGCAGCCGCGGUAAUACGGAGGGUGCGAGCGUUAAUCGGAAUUACUGGGCGUAAAGGGCUCGUAGGCGGUAUGUCAAGUCAAGGGGGAAAUCCCCGCGCUCAACGUGGGAACUGCCUUUGAAACUGGGAAACUGGAGUGUGUGAGAGGAUAGUGGAAUUCCAGGUGUAGGAGUGAAAUCCGUAGAUAUCUGGAGGAACAUCUGUGGCGAAGGCGACUAUCUGGCACAUAACUGACGCUGAGGAGCGAAAGCGUGGGUAGCAAACAGGAUUAGAUACCCUAGUAGUC
rnacentral:rRNA from 1 species